CAAUGUAGUAUGUUUUUAAAAAGAUGAAAUUCACUGUUACAGUAAAACAUGCUUUUAACAAAGUGCCGGGGACGGGCGAUUUUGCUUUGUUAUAAAUGUACAUGUAAUUUGUUAUAUCCAUUAGUUUCACAAUAUGUUUAAAACUCACAGGGAAUGAAAAUAACUUCAUUACAAGCGUCAAUUCAUUAUAAAUACAUUCGCUUUUAGCAUGUUUUACUGUAUUUUGUUGUGGCAAUACUAACAUGUAGUACACAUAUUGUACCUCACUGUAGAAGACUGCAUUUCAGUUAGAAUUUAGUUUUUGAAAUGUCUCAAGGUUGCAAAUUUGGCAUAACAUGUAUAACACUAAGCAGUAAGUUGUUCUUAUACUUCCACAGAAUUUUCAGGUUUAUCAUAUUUUGCAAUUUUCAAAUUUUGUCAACAUUAACCACAUUUGCUAAAGUAUUUCAAAUUCUUGCAUUUGAGACAAAUGUUUGCAUGCAUCCACAAUUUCACGUUGUGAGAAAGAGGUGAUGAUGAUCAUGAUGAUGACAGUAAAGAUUUAUUUUGUAUGAAAGU
rnacentral:sRNA from 1 species